rnacentral:lncRNA from 1 species
UCCUAUUCUUUAAUUUAUCCUACAAAUAGGAUAGUUAUUACUAAUUUUGUAACUUCAUAUUUGUUGAGACAAUUGUUCUCUAUAUUUGUGAUAAAAAAAUAAUAAAAAGAAAACCUACAUCAACAACAAGAUAGACCUAAAACCCUUCACUAAAAUGUACACAACCCGUGCAUUUUAUGCUCCAAAGUCAACAAAUAGAAGUGCUCUUUUCCAAUCGUCGUCGUGGUCGAGGAUGCGGUGGCGGUGGCGAUGGCGGCGAGAUUCAUGGCCAAGUCUCGCAGAAACAGGACGAAGCAACGACACCGUCGCAAGAAAUCAAGUCCUCUAGAGACAAAUUACAAACAACCCAUCACACAUCACACAAUCAUCUCCAUCAUCGAGUCGGGAAGGAAAGGAAAGUCUGUGUGGAUCCAACACCGCAAUUCAUCCACGGACAUGACUGACUGACCGAGCAACGCGGGAAAUGUUUGCCUCGCUCGGAGGAUUAUGAGCCUGCAGCGCCUCAGUCCGCGAGUUCGAAUUUGUCGUGGACUUUCGCAAUCACCAGCUGGCUGGUCGAAAUUUGAGAGAGGGAAGAGAAGGGAGGGAUCCUAAUUUUAGAGGGAGGGAGAGAACCUUAACAGGUGGUGGCCAUCGCUCGGGCUCCCGUUCCGAUGCGAGCGAUGCGGCCCGACAAAGGCCCAGAUUAGUCCGGAUUCGGCACACGCGGAAUUUCCUUUUGGGUCGCGACAGAGCAGGACACUAGUGAGCGAGCGCAGCACCAGGGAAUGAACACACACCCUUUCAAAAUUAUACCUGCGCUGAAGUGCUACCCAUCGCAGCGGAGCUCGCCGCAUUGCGAUCCCGCUCCUGGGUUCGCAUGGCAACG